UACGAGGGGUGCAAGCGUUGCUCGGAAUUAUUGGGCGUAAAGGGUAGGUAGGUGGUCUCAUUUGUCUGGGGUGAAAGCCUUGAGCUUAACUCAAGAAGUGCCCCAGAAACGGUGAGACUCGAGUCUUGGAGAGGGUCGUGGAAUUCCCGGUGUAGCGGUGAAAUGCGUAGAGAUCGGGAGGAACACCAGUGGCGAAGGCGGCUACCUGGACCAGCACUGACACUGAGGCACGAAAGCGUGGGGAGCAAACAGG
rnacentral:rRNA from 1 species